UUACCACCACAGAGGAGACACAACUCCUCUCUCUACCUUGCUGCAAGGGGGUCAUUUGGAGACAGGGGUUCCAAACAUGUUUGUAUUAUGCUGAUUAAACCUUGCUAUUACAGUCUGGGCCUCUCUGGUGGUCUCACUGUGGGGGUCAUAAUCUGGGCACAACAUUUGGUGCAUUGGUCGGGAACCCCAGAGAUUCCACCAGGAUGAUGAAUGUCCGGAGGUUUAUUAGCACUUACCGGUGUUCUUUGAAGUGGAUGCACUUGUACAGAGAGAACCUGGAGAAGCAAGAGAGGACUUGUCUUCCAUUUCCAGACAGUGAUGGACCAUUUCCAGACAGAGGCUUUCCUGGCCCCGGGUCAUUUCCAGAGAUGGGAAUUCUCCCAGUUCCGGGUCAUUUCCGGACAGGGGCCUUACUGGCCCCAAGUUAUUUCCAGACAGGGAUGGGAAUUCUCCCAGUCCCACGUCAGUAGACAGGAUUAUUUGCAGCUACCUCAGAGACAGCUGUUUGGGUUUCUCCCACCUUGGGAAUAAAUGUCACUAUAUGUCUCA